ACAGACCCCAGUCGUGGAUUCGACUCUUGGCGAACUUCAGCUGUUUUUUGCGGAACUAAAUAAUUGGAUAUAAUUUAGUAACAGUUUCGUAAACAAUAUACCGGUGGGUGAGAGAUCACUCCAGGCGGCGUCAACUGUGGCCAAAAGUCGUCGUUGAUUAGAUCUGGCCUCUCGGGUGGACCCUGUUCCUACUUGUCGGGCGCGCAACUGUUUCGCGCUAGAAGUGACGGAUGAUGCAGAUGAAUCAGAUGAAGAACUAGACGAUGAAGCGGAUG